CCCUUAGAUGUCCUGGGCUGCACGCGCGCUACACUGAUGUGUCCAGUAAGCACCUAACCUCUUCCGAAAGGAACGGGUAACCUUUGCAAAGCACAUCGUGAUGGGGAUAGAUUAUUGCAAUUAUUAGUCUUGAACGAGGAAUUCCUAGUAAGCACAAGUCAUCAGCUUGUGUUGAUUACGUCCCUGCCCUUCGUACACACCGCCCGUCGCUACUACCGAUUGAACGGUUUAGUGAGGGCCUCGGAUUGGUCUCGGCCCGCUCUUUACCGGGCGGCGCCGUUGGUCGAGAAGACGCUCGAACUUGAUCGUUUAGAGGAAGUAAAAGUCGUAACA
rnacentral:rRNA from 1 species